GACGAACGCUGGCGGCGUGCUUAACACAUGCAAGUCGAACGGAAAGGCCCUGCUUUUGUGGGGUGCUCGAGUGGCGAACGUGUGAGUAACACGUGAGUAACCUGCCCUUGACUUUGGGAUAACUUCAGGAAACUGGGGCUAAUACCGGAUAGGAGCUCCUGCUGCAUGGUGGGGGUUGGAAAGUGUCGGCGGUUGGGGAUGGACUCGCGGCUUAUCAGCUUGUUGGUGGGGUAGUGGCUUACCAAGGCUUUGACGGGUAGCCGGCCUGAGAGGGUGACCGGCCACAUUGGGACUGAGAUACGGCCCAGACUCCUACGGGAGGCAGCAGUGGGGAAUAUUGCACAAUGGGCGGAAGCCUGAUGCAGCAACGCCGCGUGCGGGAUGACGGCCUUCGGGUUGUAAACCGCUUUCGCCUGUGACGAAGCGUGAGUGACGGUAAUGGGUAAAGAAGCACCGGCUAACUACGUG
rnacentral:rRNA from 1 species